CAUUUGCAUAACAGGUUAAAAGUAAACCAGGCUUCCUCUACCACUCACUGUGUGAUGGAUAUUUGGAAGGACGCCUUGACAACAUGACAAAAGAACAACCCGAUCCACUUCAAGUAGCCAUGGGAUCUCCCCUCCUCUCCUAGUCGAUGCACUCGCUCCAGCAGCUCCCACUUCUCGCAGCAGCCGGAGUAAUUGACAAAGUUCCUGGCGAGAAUCUCUUUCAGCUGGCGGACAGAGAGGUUCUCUAUCGCCUCUUCAUUGUCCAGAUCAGACAGCGAGGCCCUGAUCCUCCUCUGUGUCGCCGGACUGACCUACAAUCACCACAGGAAACAGAGCUGCGGUCAACAACACCGACGGCAUUCCUUGGAAGCCUCGUCAGUCUACAAUAAUCUUUGUUCUCCUACUAUGAACACUAUUUAGUACCGUUAAUGUGCAAAGAACAAACAAGUAUUGUACCUCCAUUAAAGUUUCAGUGGGCUCCAGGUUCAAGAGAGAUGCUGUUGGAGUAUCCUCCUGUUCCUGUUUGAGUAGAAAUCAACAGUUUAAAUUCUCAUCACAGCAUUUAACAUACUGGUUUAAACACCAAAUCAAUCAACAAGAUUCUUAUAGCUCCAUAUGACGACCAAUGCCACGAUAAAAGGACUUCACGGCUCUCUACUAUCUAAUUCUUUAAACUUGAUAUCUCAUGAAAGAAUGUUUAAAAGGAGAUGUUUAAACACUGACUCAGCGGUUCAUUAUUCUCUUUGAAGGUGGAGGUCGGGAAUUUGCCAGAGGAGAGUAAAUGGAGCUACAGAACAGAGCAGACUGUUUGGCAUGAGUGUAUAGUUCUGUGUUAUCUCAGGGAAGAUAGCGCCUCUUUAUUAAUGUAUCCGGCAGCGUCGCGCAGCUUGAUGCCUGCCUCCACCACAUCACGCUUUUACUCAGGCUCCACUCCUCAGAGAACACGAGCAGCAGCCCGACACAAUCAAAGUGCCGAACCUUUAGAUCUAAUUCUAACAUUUCAAACAUGUGGAAGUACUAGAAAGCACUCAGAGAGCGCAGAUUUCUGUCAAAGCUGCUAAAUUUGUUAUUUGAGAAUAAAAACAAAUAUUGAGAAAUGUUUCAUCUGCAUGUUGAUCGACAGUCAUGUCAUCAAUAGUUGACGAGGAAAUACUGAAAAUGCUAAAAAGGGGGCAAGAAAACUUGACAAAACCGCGCCAUAACGCCAAUAUAUUUAGUAUUAAUAACUUGAACAGUGCUAUAAAAUACUUCACACAAGAAAAUUAGAAAAGGUUCCUGGAUUUUGCCUUAAAAUGUGUCCCGACCACUAAAGAAAUACACAUAACGGCUACGUUAUAUUCUACCUGUCUCUGUGUCGUGCUUUUGGGUUCAGGUCUGUCGGUUCCAGCGAACCUUACAGUUUCAAAGUAACGAAUCCUUGAAGGAAUUUGUUAUUUCAAGAAACAAAAAGAACUCAAACCAAGAGAUGGAAAAAGAGAUGAUGUAUGGGGGAUAAGAAGAGGGAUGUUUUGUAGUGUUUCUGUUGUAUGUUGCAGCUGUGAUGCAGUGGGGAGUUCUCAACCUGGGCGCCCGUUAUAUAACAGACUCAGCCUAUGUAACAGACCUAAAAAAAAAGCAAAGGGCUUAAGCUGCAUUGCUGGUUACUGCCCUCAGACCAUCCAUGUACACACACACACACACACACAUGUACACGUGCACACACAGCUGUCAUGUACACAUUCUGCUCAACACAGCUCUGCAAAUCUGAGCUUCUGAUCGUUUCAAUGUAGGAAAAAGAAUCCAAUGAAAUGCCAUAGAUUUUCUGGGCGAAACACGAGAUCAUAGAGACACAGAAGACAGGAAGUGAGGAAUAAAGCAUGAAAUGCAAUGAAUGAAACAACAUCUAAGAAGAAAUGCACGAGAGAGGGCAUUUGUUUAUAAGGGAGUUGAAAGUCUCUUGACUUUGACACUUGUAAAUAAACAGAUUUCACCUUUGCAAUUAAUUAUCUCGGAUAGAAUGAGGACAGAUGUGAAGGAAGCACGGUGUAUGCACAUUAGAGAAUGAGAGAGCGUAUGCUUGUGUGUGGCUGCACAGUGCACAGCGUUGGCUCUGCAUGCAGACACGCACUGAACAUCAGCCGUGUGUCUAACCUGGCU